rnacentral:rRNA from 1 species
UACAACGAGUCGCAAGCUCGCGAGAGUAAGCUAAUCUCUUAAAGCCGUUCUCAGUUCGGACUGUAGGCUGCAACUCGCCUACACGAAGUCGGAAUCGCUAGUAAUCGCGGAUCAGCAUGCCGCGGUGAAUACGUUCCCGGGCCUUGUACACACCGCCCGUCACACCAUGGGAGUUUGUAACGCCCAAAGUCGGUGGCCUAACCUUUAUGGAGGGAGCCGCCUAAGGCGGGACAGAUGACUGGGGUGAAGUCGUAACAAGGUAGC